AUGAUCUCGAUCUUUAAAUCAAAGAAGGCAAAUUCUAAUGCAGGUAUUUCAGACCGUAAGACACACCAAGUGGGUGAAGGGCUGGGGGUGGAUGGUGUCUGCACUUUCUUGAGCUCCUGCUACCUGCUGGGCCCUGAGCCAGACGCUGACUUCACCAAGGAUUCCAGAUCCGUGCAGCUGGGACGUCAGGGUCCCUUGCUCAGAGAUCCUGGACGGAACCCCCGUGGUGGGCCAGCAGCUCUGUGGGCCACACGGAUAUUUCAUGGGACCAGUGCCGGGUGCUUCAAGUUGCCCCCUUUAAUCAGCCAUGGACCCCAGACGGUCCUCCGUGGUUCCUGUGAGCCAGCUGGCACCCCCUUGUCACGGGGAAGGCAGGCAGGCGGACAGGUGCCCACCAUCUUAGGCAGGGGCAGCUGGCUGGAAGUGACCAGCUGGGCCGGCCCUGGCACAGGCCAGCAGGGCGAGGCCUCUGCCCCCCAAGGCCCCCUCCAGGGAUGGGAGAAAGACAGGGCCCCUCGCAGAGGUACAGCCUCGCCCAAGUUGGCCCAGGGGCGGCGUGCUGGCAUCCUGGGGGCACGGCCCUCUCAACCCUGAGGCUUGCUCUGUCCUUACCUGUGGCUCCCACAAGACCCCACACAGGGAAGGGGCUGCGUACCCUGGGUGGGGCUGAAGUGAGCAGGCUUGACCCCCAGGCCAGGCCGUGGGUCUUAAGCUACUCUGCUGGGCCUUAGUGUCCCCGCUGUACAGACGAUGAAAACCAGGCAGCUGGGGUGGGGUGACAAGCGUGGGCGUCCCCGCGAUACCCCCAGUGCUGAGCGUAACAGGUUCAGUGGGCUGGGCUGGGCAACCUGCCCACCCCAAGGCCACAGCAGAAACUGGAAGGAUUUCCUGGCUCUGGGAAAAUAUCAAUCCACUGGCGCCCACUGAUUCCUUGCAAGGAAAGAUAUUUUCCUCUAAAGAAUCAAAGGACUGCAAGACAGAAUGAGACCGCCCAGGGACCCCUUCUCGGGCACGCACAGCCCCGCCCCAGAGGCCUGUGUGUCCCCUCUAUUCUGUUUGGCCUUUUGCCCUUUCCAGAGAGGCGACACUCUGGCCUUGGUGGGUCCGAGCAUUAGAGCCACCCUUGCAACGAGAAGAUGAACAUCAACGGCAGACAGCGCCCAGCGCAUGCUCACCUGCACGCAUGCGCCUGCGUAACUACAUGUGCGUGUGUGAGCGUGUGCGCUUAGUUCUACGUGUGUUUUCACUGUGGUCAAAUACAUCUAAAAUUUGCCCUUUCCGCCAUUUCAGUGCACAGCUCAGAGGCGUGCGGCCAUCCCCACCACCCACCUCCGGAACGUCCUCGUUUUCCCAAACUGGAAGUCUACCCAUCAAACGCUCAGUGCGACUUCAUCACGGCACACGACACCGCCAGGCCCCUCGUGCUGCCCUUUUAGAGCCGCAGCCACCUCCCCACCCCAGGCCGGCCCCUCUCCCACCGUCUGAAUGGAAUCCGCAGGCAGCCCCGUGGAGCAGCCGCCUGCUGCCCUGUC
rnacentral:lncRNA from 1 species